UACGGGGGGGGGCAAGCGUUGUUCGGAAUUACUGGGCGUAAAGGGCUCGUAGGUGGCCAACUAAGUCAGACGUGAAAUCCCUCGGCUUAACCGGGGAACUGCGUCUGAUACUGGAUGGCUUGAGAUUGGGAGAGGGAUGCGGAAUUCCAGGUGUAGCGGUGAAAUGCGUGGAUAUCAGGAGGAACACCCGUAGCGAAGGCGGCACUCUGGGCCGAUACUGACACUGAGGAGCGAAAGCGUGGGGAGCGAACAGG
rnacentral:rRNA from 1 species